AACCGCUUUAAACUCAAAAGACUUGACAGUAUCUCAUACACCUAGAGGAGCCUGUCCUAUAACCGAUAACCCACGAUCAACCUUACCCUCCCUUGCACAAACCAGCCUAUAUACCUCCGUCGCCAAUACGCCUGUUAACAGUUACAUAGCGUAUACAAUAGUCUACCACUAACACGACAGGUCAAGGUGUAGCUAAUGGGCGGGACAGCGAUGGGCUACAUUUUCUUCACUAGAAAACACCUAACAUGUAAUGAAAACUCCACAUAAAGGCGGAUUUAGCAGUAAGCAGCAGCAAGAAAAGCUCACCUGAAACCUCACAUGAGAUGUGUACACACCGCCCGUCACCCUCCUCAAAACACAUUUAAACGUAACUAACCCACCUACAAGAUAAAGAUGAGAUAAGUCGUAACAUGGUAAGCGUACUGGAAAGUGUGCUUGGCCCACCUCAGAAGUAGCUUAACUCAAAGCGUUAGGCUUACAACCAA
rnacentral:rRNA from 1 species